CCGUUUAACCUGGGGUUUUGACAUGUGGGUUAAUCCGGCAGAGAUGUCGGGUCCUUUUGGGAACUCAUGCAGGUGGUGCAUGGCUGUCGUCAGCUCGUGUCGUGAGAUGUUGGGUUAAGUCCCGCAACGAGCGCAACCCUCGUCCUAUGUUGCCAGCACGUUAUGGUGGGGACUCAUAGGAGACUGCCGGGGUCAACUCGGAGGAAGGUGGGGAUGAUGUCAAGUCUUCAUGCCCCUUAUGUCCAGGGCUGCAAACAUGCUACAAUGGUCGGUACAAUGGGCUGCGAGACCGUGAGGUGGAGCGAAUCCCUAAAAGCCGGCCUCAGUUCGGAUCGGGGUCUGCAACUCGACCCCGUGAAGUUGGAGUCGCUAGUAAUCGCGGAUCAGCAACGCCGCGGUGAAUACGUUCCCGGGCCUUGUACACACCGCCCGUCAAGUCAGGAAAGUCGGCAACACCCGAAGCCCAUGGCCUAACCAACUUUGUUGGAGGGAGUGGUCGAAGGUGGGGCUGGCGAUUCGGACUAAGUCGUAACAAGGUAGGCGUAGUGCU
rnacentral:rRNA from 1 species